GGUGGCUUAGUGGUAGAGUGCUUGCCUUUUAUGCAUGAAGCCCUGGGUUCGAUUCCUCAGCACCA
rnacentral:tRNA from 1 species